UACGUAGGGUGCAAGCGUUGUCCGGAAUUAUUGGGCGUAAAGAGCUCGUAGGCGGCUUGUCGCGUCGGCUGUGAAAACCUGGGGCUCAACCUCGGGUCUGCAGUCGAUACGAGCAAACUAGAGUGUUGCAGGGGAGACUGGAAUUCCUGGUGUAGCGGUGAAAUGCGCAGAUAUCAGGAGGAACACCGGUGGCGAAGGCGGGAUCCUGGGCCAGUACUGACGCUGAGGAGCGAAAGCGUGGGGAGCAAACAGG
rnacentral:rRNA from 1 species